AUUGAACGCUAGCGGCAGGCCUAACACAUGCAAGUCGAACGAGUGGCGGACGGGUGAGUAAUGUCUGGGAAACUGCCUGAUGGAGGGGGAUAACUACUGGAAACGGUAGCUAAUACCGCAUACCAUCGGAUGUGCCCAGAUGGGAUUAGCUAGUAGGUGGGGUAAAGGCUCACCUAGGCGACGAUCCGUAGCUGGUCUGAGAGGAUGACCAGCCACACUGGAACUGAGACACGGCCCAGACUCCUACGGGAGGCAGCAGUGGGGAAUAUUGCACAAUGGGCGCAACCCUGAUGCAGCCAUGCCGCGUGUAUGAAGAAGGCCUUCGGGUUGUAAAGCACUUUCAGCGAGGAGGCGUUACUCGCAGAAGAAGCACCGGCUAACUACGUGCCAGCAGCCGCGGUAAUAC
rnacentral:rRNA from 1 species